rnacentral:rRNA from 1 species
GAUGAACGCUAGCGAUAGGCUUAACACAUGCAAGUCGAGGGGCAGCACAAGGUAUCUUGCUAUCUGGGUGGCGACCGGCGCACGGGUGCGUAACGCGUAUGCAACUUGCCCUAUACAGGAGGAUAACCCGUCGAAAGACGGACUAAUACUGCGUAUGCUCACAACUCGGCAUCAAUUGGUGAGGUAAGAAAUUCGGUAUAGGAUAGGCAUGCGUCCCAUUAGCUUGUUGGUGAGGUAACGGCUCACCAAGGCAACGAUGUGUAGGGGAACUGAGAGGUUUAUCCCCAACACUGGUACUGAGAAACGGACCAGACUCCUACGGGAGGCAGCAGUGAGGAAUAUUGGUCAAUGGGCGCGAGCCUGAACCAGCCAAGUCGCGUGAAGGAUGACUGUCUUAUGGAUGGUAAACUUCUUUUAUACGGGAAUAACAAGAGUCACGGGUGACUCCCUGCAUGUACCGUAUGAAUAAGCAUCGGCUAACUCCGUG